GACGAACGCUGGCGGCGUGCCUAAUACAUGCAAGUAGAACGCUGAAGGAGGAGCUUGCUUCUCCGGAUGAGUUGCGAACGGGUGAGUAACGCGUAGGUAACCUGCCUGGUAGCGGGGGAUAACUAUUGGAAACGAUAGCUAAUACCGCAUAAGAGUAGAUGUCGCAUGACAUUUGCUUAAAAGGUGCAACUGCACCACUACCAGAUGGACCUGCGUUGUAUUAGCUAGUUGGUGAGGUAACGGCUCACCAAGGCAACGAUACAUAGCCGACCUGAGAGGGUGAUCGGCCACACUGGGACUGAGACACGGCCCAGACUCCUACGGGAGGCAGCAGUAGGGAAUCUUCGGCAAUGGACGGAAGUCUGACCGAGCAACGCCGCGUGAGUGAAGAAGGGUGUCGGAUCGUAAAGCUCUGUUGUAAGAGAAGAACGAGUGUGAGAGUGGAAAGUUCACACUGUGACGGUAGCUUACCAGAAAGGGACGGCUAACUACGUG
rnacentral:rRNA from 1 species